rnacentral:rRNA from 1 species
AGAGUUUGAUCAUGGCUCAGAGCGAACGCUGGCGGCAGGCUUAACACAUGCAAGUCGAACGGACGUAGCAAUACGUCAGUGGCAGACGGGUGAGUAACACGUGGGAACGUGCCCUUCGGUUCGGAACAACCCAGGGAAACUUGGGCUAAUACCGGAUACGUCCGCAAGGAGAAAGAUUUAUCGCCGAAGGAUCGGCCCGCGUCUGAUUAGCUUGUUGGUGAGGUAACGGCUCACCAAGGCGACGAUCAGUAGCUGGUCUGAGAGGAUGAUCAGCCACACUGGGACUGAGACACGGCCCAGACUCCUACGGGAGGCAGCAGUGGGGAAUAUUGGACAAUGGGCGCAAGCCUGAUCCAGCCAUGCCGCGUGGGUGAUGAAGGCCUUAGGGUUGUAAAGCCCUUUCGGCGGGGAAGAUAAUGACGGUACCCGCAGAAGAAGCCCCGGCUAACUUCGUGCCAGCAGCCGCGGUAAUACGAAGGGGGUUAGCGUUGCUCGGAAUCACUGGGCGUAAAGCGCACGUAGGCGGAUUGCUAAGUCAGGGGUGAAAUCCUGGAGCUCAACUCCAGAACUGCCCUUGAUACUGGCGACCUUGAGUCCGGGAGAGGUGAGUGGAACUGCGAGUGUAGAGGUGAAAUUCGUAGAUAUUCGCAAGAACACCAGUGGCGAAGGCGGCUCACUGGCCCGGUACUGACGCUGAGGUGCGAAAGCGUGGGGAGCAAACAGGAUUAGAUACCCUAGUAGUCC